rnacentral:rRNA from 1 species
UACGGAGGGUGCAAGCGUUAUCCGGAUUCACUGGGUUUAAAGGGUGCGUAGGUGGGCAGUUAAGUCAGUGGUGAAAUCUCCGGGCUCAACCCGGAAACUGCCAUUGAUACUAUCUGUCUUGAAUAUCGUGGAGGUAAGCGGAAUAUGUCAUGUAGCGGUGAAAUGCUUAGAUAUGACAUAGAACACCAAUUGCGAAGGCAGCUUACUACCCGAAUAUUGACACUGAGGCGCGAAAGCGUGGGGAUCAAACAGG